UGGAACCUGCGGGGUCACUGCAGCUGUGCCUCUGCCACCCGCGCGCAAAUCAAAGGCACAAAAUCAGGAUUAGCGCUGGAAGGGCGAGAUUUGAGCACUGAGCUGAUCUUCAAAAGCCAUCAGCGCCUGAGCUGGCUCAUCAGAGCCCUUACCAAAGCACACACGAGCUCCUGCUGCUGGGACAAAUGGCCCAGGAUCGCCCCUGCAGAUGGUCCCGGGCAGCCUCGGAGCUCCAGGAGGGGCUGCAGGUGUGGGGGGAGAGGUUGGGAAUGGCCCUGCACACCUGAGCACUCCCACAGCAGCUUUUCCAAGGCUCUUCUGCUCAGGGCUGCCUUGUUGGGCUGCAGGAACUCCGUGUGGAGCCUCAGGAUGGAGCAGCUGAUCCCUGUGAAGUCCGGGGGCAUUUGUGGGGUUCUGAUGCACUGAAAGCCCCGGGCAGAGCUGAGGAGGGACAGCUCAGCUCCAUCAGGGGCUCAGUGCCAGGUGGGACAGGCAGAAAAGAGGCAAAAAUAAUCCCCAAGAGGACAAGAACUCCAGAUGCAAAAGGAGAAGAAAAGAUGGAUGGUGCUUUGUGGCAGAGGAAGGGAUUCAGGCUGGCAAAUACAGCCUGGGGGAGCCCGGAUCUCCGUUCCUGGUUUCCUGCUCAGUCCCAGCUCCCUGAAGCUGACAGGAGCCCGUGAUAAUGAGCAGUAAAUAAUUGCUAGCCCUGGGCAAGAGUCUGAGCAGGAUCCCGAACAUUCCAGAUUUUACUUCACUGGUGUUGAUUUCGGGCUCUGCACUGGAACUUGCAAUCAGCACGGAGCUCUUUGCCACCAACGUGCACCAGGUUUGAUGGGAAUAUUUGAUUUUAUUCCACUCAGAGCUAAAUUAGCUGCAAAGCCUCUCCUCCCCCCACUCCAGAGCGUGGUCCUGGAGCUGAGCUCAGCUCGCUGAGCAGAGCAGAACAGAGGAAUUCUUUUUGCUCUGGGAAUUUUGUCCCGGCCCUGCCGCUCUCCCCACGUUCCUGGAAAGUCUUGAAUAAUCAAAUGGGUCAUUUCUGCUCAGCUGCUGUGAUUUAUUGUCCCACGGAACCCAGAUCUUCUGAAUGCUAAUGAAAAAAAUCCCCAUCAGCCGGGCUGAUGCCAUUCUGCUUUAUGACCUUAUUAAAUCUUACACUUUCCUAUCAUGUGGUGACAAUUACGGGAGGACAGGCCAGGGCUCCUGCCACCACCACUCAGCGCUGUCAGCGCCGGGCCCGGGAGAUUUACACCCCUGAGCAGUCCUGAGAGACAUUUUUACACUGCUGACAGGAUUAUAUAACACGAGAAAAGGCCAUUAACAAAUACAAAGGAACGGGCGGCAGCGAGAGGGCAGCUGGAGAAUGGGGCAGUAAAUCCCGGCUCUGGCAGCCGGCAAUAAAAUCACCUUGUGGGGAGAGGUGAUGAGCUGAGAGGGGCAGAGCUGGCAGCCCGGGGCUCGGGGGGGGGGCACUGGGCACUGCCCGGCCCUGGCUGGGCGGGUCUGUGCCAGGGAAUGUCCCUGGGAUGGCCUGGAAUAUCCUGGGAUGUCCCCAGGUGUGGGC